GAAUUUUGGACAAUGGGCGAAAGCCUGAUCCAGCAAUGCCGCGUGCAGGAUGAAGGCCUUCGGGUUGUAAACUGCUUUUGUACGGAACGAAAAGCUUUGGGUUAAUACCCUGGAGUCCUGACGGUCCCGGAAGAAUAAGCACCGGCUAACUACGUUACAGCACCCGCGGCAAUACGUAGGGUGCAAGCGUUAAUCGGGAUUACUGUGCGUAACGCGUGCGCAGGCGGUGUUGUAAGACAGAGGUGAAAUCCCCGGGCUCAACCUGGGAACUGCCUUUGUGACUGCAAGGCUAGAGUACGGCAGAGGGGGGUGGAAUUCCGCGUGUAGCAGUGAAAUGCGUAGAUAUGCGGAGGAACACCGAUGGCGAAGGCAACCCCCUGGGCCUGUACUGACGCUCAUGCACGAAAGCGUGGGGAGCAAACAG
rnacentral:rRNA from 1 species